rnacentral:rRNA from 1 species
AACGAACGCUGGCGGCAGGCUUAACACACGCAAGUCGAACGCCCUAGCAAUAGGGAGUGGCGCACGGGUGAGUAACGCGUGGGAAUAUACCUUGUAGUGGGGAAUAACGUUGGGAAACUUCAGCUAAUACCGUAUACGCCCUACGGGGGAAAGAUUUAUCGGAAUUGGAUGAGCCCGCGUUGGAUUAGCUAGUUGGUGGGGUAAUGGCCUACCAAGGCGACGAUCCAUAGCUGGUCUGAGAGGAUGAUCAGCCACACUGGGACUGAGACACGGCCCAGACUCCUACGGGAGGCAGCAGUGGGGAAUAUUGGACAAUGGGCGCAAGCCUGAUCCAGCCAUGCCGCGUGAGUGAUGAAGGCCUUAGGGUUGUAAAGCUCUUUCAGUGGGGACGAUAAUGACGGUACCCACAGAAGAAGCCCCGGCUAACUUCGUGCCAGCCGCCGCUGUAACAC